GUGGGGAAUCUUCCGCAAUGGACGAAAGUCUGACGGAGCGACGCCGCGUGAGUGAUGAAGGCCUUCGGGUCGUAAAGCUCUGUCGUCGGGGACGAACGGCCGCCUCAGGGAAUGGGGGCGGAGUGACGGUACCCGAGAAGGAAGCCACGGCUAACUACGUGCCAGCAGCCGCGGUAAUACGUAGGUGGCAAGCGUUGUCCGGAAUUAUUGGGCGUAAAGCGCGCGCAGGUGGGAUUUUAAGUCCAUUUUGAAAGUUCGGAGCUUAACUCCGUGAUGGGAUGGAAACUGGGAUUCUUGAGUACCGGAGAGGAAAGCGGAAUUCCCCGUGUAGCGGUGAAAUGCGUAGAUAUGGGGAGGAACACCAGUGGCGAAGGCGGCUUUCUGGACGGUGUCUGACACUGAGGCGCGAAAGCCAGGGGAGCGAACGGGAUUAGAAACCCGGGUAGUCC
rnacentral:rRNA from 1 species